rnacentral:lncRNA from 1 species
GCGGGACAGGAACCGGCCAGCUGCAACUGCAAUCGCAAAUCGUCCUGGUGCCGCUCAGUGGGGUGCGUCCUUGGCCCUGUUCAGAAUCAUCGAAGCCUAAGCGGGAAAGGAAACGACCCUCCUACACACUGUGCGAUGUCUGCAACAUCCAGCUGAACUCUGCCGCUCAGGCCCAGGUGCAUUGUGGGGGACGCGCCCACCAGCGAAGGCUUCGGCAGCUCAGCCUGGGCAAGACCUCCACAGGGCCAGGGUAUUCCAUACUCCUGCUUUUCAGAACAUCGUUGCAUAGCGCUCCAACCGAGGAACAACAGGAGCUUCCUGUGGCAGCUGGACUCUCAGCCAGGAUUUCUGCCUCUCCCAGCCUGGGGUGACUUUGCACGGAGAAGGGUAGGGGCUGGGGGAGGGGGAUUGGCUGUCAGUGCUGUAGGGGCAUCUGGCUACAGUGCAGUGUUCUGGGAGAAAUGGGUGAAUGCUUCUGUGAGGGCGAUGCUUGUUGACAGACACGUGGUGGUCACGAGCUGCAGGCUGGCAAGGGAGGCAGAUCCACAGAAGCCUAGGAGGGAGAGGCAGGAGGCAUUCUACCCCAUAUCCUGGGGGUGGCUUCAGGAAACCCACCUUGCACCCCCGCAGGGUAGUUUUGCCAGAGGAUACUCUGAACCUUGAGAGUGCCUAGUCUUUGGAUGACAUUUAUACAGUGUCCCCAGAGCAUGAGGGAAGUUGAGACACACCCCCAGGGACACAAAGGCCUCAGAGGGAGGGAGAGUGAUGGUCAUGACAGGUGAGGAGCAUUUCAGGCUGGCGUCUUGUCCUUAGCAAGUGACAGGAAGACUCUCUUAUCAGUAUUAACUCCUCAAAGGAGGCACUUAGAGUUGGAUUCUCAAGGUUGUGACUGAGCAAAUCUUAUGGAUGGCUUUUUCUGGAGCAUGUAGGAUG